AUUGAACGCUGGCGGCAUGCCUAACACAUGCAAGUCGAACGAGUGGCGGACGGGUGAGUAAUGUCUGGGCAACUGCCUGAUGGAGGGGGAUAACUACUGGAAACGGUAGCUAAUACCGCAUACCAUCCGAUGUUCCCAGAUGGGAUUAGCUAGUUGGUGGGGUAACGGCUCAAUAAGUCGACGAUCCAUAGCUGGUCGGAGAGGAUGACCAGCCACACUGGAACUGAGACACGGCCCAGACUCCUACGGGAGGCAGCAGUGGGGAACAUUGGACAAUGGGCGCAAGCCUGAUGCAGCCAUGCCGCGUGUAUGAAGAAGGCCUUCGGGUUGUAAAGUACUUUCAGCGGGGAGGCGUUACCCGCAGAAGAAGCACCGGCUAACUCCGUGCCAGCAGCCGCGGUAAUAC
rnacentral:rRNA from 1 species